AACGAACGCUGGCGGCAUGCCUAACACAUGCAAGUCGAACGAGACCUUCGGGUCUAGUGGCGCACGUGUGCGUACCGCGUGGUAACCUGCCCUUAGGUUCGGAAUCCCUCCCCUUAAGGUGUCCUAAUACCGGUUAAUCUCUUCGGACCAAAGAUUUAUCGCCUUUGGAUGGGCCUGGGUUGGAUUAGCUAGUUGGUAGGGUACAAGCCUACCAAGGCGACGAUCCAUAGCUGGUCUGAGAGGAUGAUCAGGCACACUGGGACUGAGACACGGCCCAGACUCAUACGGGAGGGAGGAGUGGGGAAUAUUGGACAAUGGGCGAAAGCAUGAUCCAGCAAUGCCGCGUGAGUGAUGAAGGCCUUAGGGUUGUAAAGCUCUUACCCGGGAUGAUAAUGACAGUACCGGGAGAAUAAGCUCCGGCUAACUCCGUG
rnacentral:rRNA from 1 species